rnacentral:rRNA from 1 species
UACGAAGGGGGCUAGCGUUGUUCGGAAUUACUGGGCGUAAAGGGCGCGUAGGCGGCCGGUUAAGUCGAACGUGAAAUCCCCGGGCUCAACCCGGGAACUGCGUCCGAUACUGGCAGGCUUGAAUCCGGGAGAGGGAUGCGGAAUUCCAGGUGUAGCGGUGAAAUGCGUAGAUAUCUGGAGGAACACCGGUGGCGAAGGCGGCAUCCUGGACCGGCAUUGACGCUGAGGCGCGAAAGCCAGGGGAGCAAACGAG